rnacentral:lncRNA from 1 species
GUUGAAAUUAGUUGUUAUGUUAAAAUAGAUAAUUAUUCAUCUUGAGCGAUGUAUCAUUGUUGACCAUUCUAGAUUCUUUUUUUGCGAACCCGUCUUCAGCGUAAUGUGUGGUUUUGAUAUUACUACGCGGGCCUCAAGGGAUUACAAAUCGAAAAUAAAUGCUAAAUAUGUUAGUUUUUGUGUCUUUCAAAACACAAACAAUAUACAGAAUUAAUUGCAGGAUAAAGACAAUAACUGUUUAGUGUCUUUAAAUAUCAACUGUAUUUGUACUCGACUCGAAACAGGUGUAGUAGCUCGCUAAAAGCUCGCAUACACCUUGUUUC